rnacentral:rRNA from 1 species
ACGAACGCUGGCGGCGUGCUUAACACAUGCAAGUCGAACGGAAAGGCCCUGCUUGCAGGGUACUCGAGUGGCGAACGGGUGAGUAACACGUGGGUGAUCUGCCCUGCACUUCGGGAUAAGCCUGGGAAACUGGGUCUAAUACCGGAUAGGAGCCAUUUUUAGUGUGAUGGUUGGAAAGUUUUUUCGGUGUAGGAUGAGCUCGCGGCCUAUCAGCUUGUUGGUGGGGUAAUGGCCUACCAAGGCGGCGACGGGUAGCCGGCCUGAGAGGGUGGACGGCCACAUUGGGACUGAGAUACGGCCCAGACUCCUACGGGAGGCAGCAGUGGGGAAUAUUGCACAAUGGACGCAAGCCUGAUGCAGCGACGCCGCGUGGGGGAUGACGGCCUUCGGGUUGUAAACUCCUUUCGCUAGGGACGAAGCUUUUUGUGACGGUACCUAGAUAAGAAGCACCGGCUAACUACGUG